rnacentral:rRNA from 1 species
UACAGAGGGUGCAAGCGUUGUUCGGAAUUACUGGGUGUAAAGGGUUCGUAGGCGGUGUGGCAAGUCGGGAGUGAAAUCUCUGGGCUUAACUCAGGGGCUGCUUCCGAAACUGCCGUGCUAGAGUGUGGGAGAGGCGCGUGGAAUUGCCGGUGUAGCGGUGAAAUGCGUAGAUAUCGGGAGGAACACCUGUGGCGAAAGCGGCUCACUGGACCACAACUGACGCUGAGGCGCGAAAGCUAGGGGAGCAAACAGG